CCCUUAACUCUGGGAAACAAAGGGUUGCAGAAGGAUGUUGUUGUCUUUGUUUUGUUUUGUUUUGUUUUUUUCUAGACAUACAGUGUUUAUUUGGUUGUUAAAAAAUUAAAAAGCCUGGUUGGAGGAGGCCGUCGCUCAGGCCUGUGCGUUCUGCUCCCCGGCUCUGUCUACCACGCUGAGCCAGGGGCUGCCCCGUAGGUAAAAGCCCAGGGGCUUCCGGGCCCACUCUCCCGCGUGUCCAAUGCCCACUCUGGCUGCUGCCACCACGGCUGGCUCGCCGCGCCCGGCGGACUGCGCUCCAGCCACACCGCUCGGUCCUCGGCCAGGUCCCGCUGGUCGAAGCUCUUGUCGAUGGCCAGGGCCUGGCACAGCUUGGAGGGGCCACUGCACAGCUCGCGGUCCUUGUGGCUCGGCCUGUGGCGCCCUUGCGGAGGGUGCUGCGGAGCUGCCGCUUGGUCUCCAGGCCCCCCAGGGGCUCCAGCGCUCGCAGGAGGACGCACGCCCCAUCCCCUUGGCUGGAGACGUUCAUGCAGAAGUACGUGCCAUAGAUGAUGUACACAUACAGAGUUCCUGGCUUCAUGAACAUGCCACGGCUGCGGGGGAUCUGCCGGCCACCCCCAGAGUGGGCAGCUUCAUCCUCUGGCCCCAGAUAUGCCCCUGUCUCCACAAUGCGGCCACGGAGCUCUGUGCCAAGUCAAGUCACCGGACUAGGACCUGUCCCAGAAAUGCCGCGCCAGGGGGACGGCAGGCUGGUCAAAGAAGUCCGAUCCCAGCUGCGCAGAGUGGCUCUUUGGGCCGGAGAAAUAGAUGCUGCCCCGCGGGCCCAGGGUUGCCGGCGGCCCCAAGCAGGGCACCCCAGGGGACGGCGUCUGGGCCUUGCCCCCCCGGCUCUCACGGUCUGCCUCCAACACUCGCUGCCUUUUUUGGCCCGUCCUGCGGGUGGGGGGUUGGGAGUAAUUGGGUGACAGUCACUGUGGAGGGCACUUGAUGGGAUGAGCACUG
rnacentral:lncRNA from 12 species